UUGUCAUCAAGCUGAGGACGUUACUUCAUGAUUCUUAUUAAUCCAGGCUAGAAAGACGUUGAGCUCUCCCAGGGAUUUAAUGGCAGCAGCGCGGACCUCCAGCUGAAAUCAGAGAUCAAUGAGCCAAAGGGAAACACACUGUAACUUCAUGCCUGCAGAAAGGGGAGGAAGUCAGCUGUCCAGCCAAGAGUGAAGGGCAAUGAAAAAGAAGACCCCUGAUUGACGCUCCUUUCCAGCCUCGAAGGCAGGCCAGGAGGAAUACAAGAAAACAACACUAAACACUUCAGCCUUGAGGAGUUACAGGGACUCCCAGAAUAAAUGGAGCUUAUUUUUAACCAAAUGAAGUGACCUUGGGAUGAGGUGCAAUUAUGAGACUCCACUGGGCUGGUACAAACCCUGUUCCUGCAGCCAGAUUCGGGAGACAGAGAGGGCCACAGGGCACCGGCAGAGAAGGAAAAGGGACAGGAAAGA